rnacentral:misc_RNA from 1 species
CUCCUCUUUACCAUUAUCAGCUCCUGCAGCAUCGAGGAUAGCGGGAUAGUCGGGGCGGUACUCAUGGGCAAGAUAAGCAUUAGGGUUUUGCUGAGGCUGUUGAAGUUGAAGUUGCUGUUGCUGCUGGGGGAGAGGGAAAAAUCAGUGGAGGAGAGCUUGCCGGUGAGGUAAUCGAGCAGGGGGCUUGCGGUCGAUGAAGGUAAUAGCUGGGACGCCAAGGGCGCGAGCAUUCUGGAGAUAAUCGGUGAACUUGAGAUUGGCGUUCUGG